rnacentral:rRNA from 1 species
UUAAGCGACUAAGCGUACACGGUGGAUGCCCUGGCAGUCAGAGGCGAUGAAGGACGUGCUAAUCUGCGAAAAGCGUCGGUAAGGUGAUAUGAACCGUUACAGCCGGCGAUGUCCGAAUGGGGAAACCCAGUGCAAUUCGUUGCACUAUCGUUAACUGAAUACAUAGGUUAACGAGGCGAACCGGGGGAACUGAAACAUCUAAGUACCCCGAGGAAAAGAAAUCAACCGAGAUUCCCCCAGUAGCGGCGAGCGAACGGGGAGCAGCCCAGAGUCUGAAUCAGCUUGUGUGUUAGUGGAACGGUCUGGAAAGUCCGACGGUACAGGGUGAUAGUCCCGUACACCAAAAUGCACAGGCUGUGAACUCGAAGAGUAGGGCGGGACACGUGGUAUCCUGUCUGAAUAUGGGGGGACCAUCCUCCAAGGCUAAAUACUCCUGACUGACCGAUAGUGAACCAGUACCGUGAGGGAAAGGCGAAAAGAACCCCGGCGAGGGGAGUGAAAAAGAACCUGAAACCGUGUACGUACAAGCAGUGGGAGCACCUUCGGGUGUGACUGCGUACCUUUUGUAUAAUGGGUCAGCGACUUAUAUUCUGUAGCAAGGUUAACCGUAUAGGGGAGCCGCAGGGAAACCGAGUCUUAACUGGGCGUUAAGUUGCAGGGUAUAGACCCGAAACCCGGUGAUCUAGCCAUGGGCAGGUUGAAGGUUGGGUAACACUAACUGGAGGACCGAACCGACUAAUGUUGAAAAAUUAGCGGAUGACUUGUGGCUGGGGGUGAAAGGCCAAUCAAACCGGGAGAUAGCUGGUUCUCCCCGAAAGCUAUUUAGGUAGCGCCUCGUGAACUCAUCUUCGGGGGUAGAGCACUGUUUCGGCUAGGGGGUCAUCCCGACUUACCAACCCGAUGCAAACUACGAAUACCGAAGAAUGUUAUCACGGGAGACACACGGCGGGUGCUAACGUCCGUCGUGAAGAGGGAAACAACCCAGACCGCCAGCUAAGGUCCCAAAGUCAUGGUUAAGUGGGAAACGAUGUGGGAAGGCACAGACAGCCAGGAUGUUGGCUUAGAAGCAGCCAUCAUUUAAAGAAAGCGUAAUAGCUCACUGGUCGAGUCGGCCUGCGCGGAAGAUGUAACGGGGCUAAACCAUGCACCGAAGCUGCGGCAGCGACACUAUGUGUUGUUGGGUAGGGGAGCGUUCUGUAAGCCUGCGAAGGUGACCUGUGAGGGUUGCUGGAGGUAUCAGAAGUGCGAAUGCUGACAUAAGUAACGAUAAAGCGGGUGAAAAGCCCGCUCGCCGGAAGACCAAGGGUUCCUGUCCAACGUUAAUCGGGGCAGGGUGAGUCGACCCCUAAGGCGAGGCCGAAAGGCGUAGUCGAUGGGAAACAGGUUAAUAUUCCUGUACUUGGUGUUACUGCGAAGGGGGGACGGAGAAGGCUAUGUUAGCCGGGCGACGGUUGUCCCGGUUUAAGCAUGUAGGCUGGUUAUCCAGGCAAAUCCGGAUAAUCAAGGCUGAGGUGUGAUGACGAGGCACUACGGUGCUGAAGUAACAAAUGCCCUGCUUCCAGGAAAAGCCUCUAAGCAUCAGGUAACAUUAAAUCGUACCCCAAACCGACACAGGUGGUCAGGUAGAGAAUACCAAGGCGCUUGAGAGAACUCGGGUGAAGGAACUAGGCAAAAUGGUGCCGUAACUUCGGGAGAAGGCACGCUGGUGUGUAGGUGAAGUCCCUGCGGAUGGAGCUGAGACCAGUCGAAGAUACCAGCUGGCUGCAACUGUUUAUUAAAAACACAGCACUGUGCAAACACGAAAGUGGACGUAUACGGUGUGACGCCUGCCCGGUGCCGGAAGGUUAAUUGAUGGGGUUAUCCGUAAGGAGAAGCUCUUGAUCGAAGCCCCGGUAAACGGCGGCCGUAACUAUAACGGUCCUAAGGUAGCGAAAUUCCUUGUCGGGUAAGUUCCGACCUGCACGAAUGGCGUAAUGAUGGCCAGGCUGUCUCCACCCGAGACUCAGUGAAAUUGAACUCGCUGUGAAGAUGCAGUGUACCCGCGGCAAGACGGAAAGACCCCGUGAACCUUUACUAUAGCUUGACACUGAACAUUGAGCCUUGAUGUGUAGGAUAGGUGGGAGGCUUUGAAGCGUGGACGCCAGUCUGCGUGGAGCCAACCUUGAAAUACCACCCUUUAAUGUUUGAUGUUCUAACGUUGGCCCCUGACCGGGGUUGCGGACAGUGUCUGGUGGGUAGUUUGACUGGGGCGGUCUCCUCCCAAAGCGUAACGGAGGAGCACGAAGGUUAGCUAAUCCUGGUCGGACAUCAGGAGGUUAGUGCAAUGGCAUAAGCUAGCUUGACUGCGAGCGUGACGGCGCGAGCAGGUGCGAAAGCAGGUCAUAGUGAUCCGGUGGUUCUGAAUGGAAGGGCCAUCGCUCAACGGAUAAAAGGUACUCCGGGGAUAACAGGCUGAUACCGCCCAAGAGUUCAUAUCGACGGCGGUGUUUGGCACCUCGAUGUCGGCUCAUCACAUCCUGGGGCUGAAGUAGGUCCCAAGGGUAUGGCUGUUCGCCAUUUAAAGUGGUACGCGAGCUGGGUUUAGAACGUCGUGAGACAGUUCGGUCCCUAUCUGCCGUGGGCGCUGGAGAAUUGAGGGGGGCUGCUCCUAGUACGAGAGGACCGGAGUGGACGCAUCACUGGUGUUCGGGUUGUCAUGCCAAUGGCACUGCCCGGUAGCUAAAUGCGGAAGAGAUAAGUGCUGAAAGCAUCUAAGCACGAAACUUGCCCCGAGAUGAGUUCUCCCUGAGACUUUAAGUCUCCUGAAGGAACGUUAAAGACGAUGACGUUGAUAGGCCGGGUGUGUAAGCGCAGCGAUGCGUUGAGCUAACCGGUACUAAUGAACCGUGAGGCUUAACCUU